GAUGAACGCUGGCGGCGUGCCUAAUACAUGCAAGUCGAGCGAAUGGAUUAAGAGCUUGCUCUUAUGAAGUUAGCGGCGGACGGGUGAGUAACACGUGGGUAACCUGCCCAUAAGACUGGGAUAACUCCGGGAAACCGGGGCUAAUACCGGAUAACAUUUUGAACCGCAUGGUUCGAAAUUGAAAGGCGGCUUCGGCUGUCACUUAUGGAUGGACCCGCGUUGCAUCAGCUAGUUGGUGAGGUAACGGCUCACCAAGGCAACGAUGCGUAGCCGACCUGAGAGGGUGAUCGGCCACACUGGGACUGAGACACGGCCCAGACUCCUACGGGAGGCAGCAGUAGGGAAUCUUCCGCAAUGGACGAAAGUCUGACGGAGCAACGCCGCGUGAGUGAUGAAGGCUUUCGGGUCGUAAAACUCUGUUGUUAGGGAAGAACAAGUGCUAGUUGAAUAAGCUGACACCUUGACGGUACCUAACCAGAAAGCCACGGCUAACUACGUGCCAGCCGCCGCCGUAA
rnacentral:rRNA from 1 species